rnacentral:rRNA from 1 species
GAUGAACGCUAGCUACAGGCUUAACACAUGCAAGUCGAGGGACCGGCGCACGGGUGAGUAACACGUAUCCAUCCUGCCCUUUACCCGGGGAUAGCCUUUCGAAAGAAAGAUUAAUACCCGCAAUAAAGGAUGGGGAUGCGUUCAAUUAGGUUGUUGGUGAGGUAACGGCUAACCAAGCCUUCGAUGGAAAGGGGUUCUGAGAGGAAGGUCCACCACAUUGGAGCUGAGACACGGUCCAAACUCCUACGGGAGACAGCAGUGAGGAAGAUUGGUCAAGGGGAGCUAGCCAGAACCAGCCAAGUAGCGUGAAGAAUGAAGGCUUAUGGGUCGUAAACUUCUUUUAUAUAAGAAUAUGUAUUAUAUGAAUAGGGAUCGGCUAACUCCGUGCCAGCAGCCGCGGUAAUAC